rnacentral:rRNA from 1 species
UGCAUACCAUGCAGUCGAACGAGGCAUACUUCGGAGCUAGUGGCGGACGGGUGAGUAACACGUGAGAAUCUGGCUCCCGGUCGGGGACAACAGAGGGAAACUUCUGCUAAUCCCGGAUGAGCCGAAAGGUAAAAGAUUUAUCGUCGGGAGAUGAGCUCGCGUCUGAUUAGCUAGUUGGUGAGGUAAAGGCUCACCAAGGCGACGAUCAGUAGCUGGUCUGAGAGGAUGAUCAGCCACACUGGGACUGAGACACGGCCCAGACUCCUACGGGAGGCAGCAGUGGGGAAUUUUCCGCAAUGGGCGCAAGCCUGACGGAGCAAGACCGCGUGGGGGAGGAAGGCUCUUGGGUUGUAAACCCCUUUUCUCAAGGAAGAACACAAUGACGGUACUUGAGGAAUAAGCCUCGGCUAACUCCGUGCCAGCAC